AGGACGAACGCUGGCGGCGUGCCUAACACAUGCAAGUCGAGCGGAAAGGCUCCUUCGGGAGUACUCGAGCGGCGAACGGGUGAGUAACACGUGGGUAAUCUGCCCAGGACACAGGAACAACCAGUGGAAACGCUGGCUAAUGCCUGAUGAAGUGCCGGCCCUGCGGGGCUUGGUACCAAAGGUAGCUUCGGCCUCCGGUCUUGGAUGAGCCCGCGGCCCAUUAGCUUGUUGGCGGGGUAACGGCCCACCAAGGCGACGAUGGGUAGCUGGUCUGAGAGGACGAUCAGCCACACUGGGACUGAGACACGGCCCAGACUCCUACGGGGGGCAGCAGUGAGGAAUUUUCCGCAAUGGAGGCAACUCUGACGGAGCAACGCCGCGUGCAGGAUGAAGGUUUUCGGAUCGUAAACUGCUUUUCUCGGGGACGAGCAAGGACGGUACCCGAGGAAGAAGCCCCGGCUAACUACGUGCCAGCAGCCGC
rnacentral:rRNA from 1 species